rnacentral:rRNA from 1 species
AAGGUAGCAUAAUCAUUAGCCUAUUAAUUGUAGGCUUGUAUCAACGGCUAGACGACAGAAAAUCUGUCUCUCUUUAUUUUUCUUGAAUUUAAUUUUAUGGUGAAGAAGCCAUAAUAUGUUAGUGGGACGAGAAGACCCUAUUGAGCUUUACUAAAAAAAAUAAAAAGUUAUUUUGGAAGUUUGGUUGGGGCAACCGUUUCUUUUAUAAGACAGAAACAUUAAUAAAUAUAAAAGGAAUUAAAUCUUUUAAAGGACCCAGAAUUAGGUCUGAUUAAUAAAAUAAGUUACCUUAGGGAUAACAGCGUAAUUCUUUUUGAGAGUACACAUUGACAAAAGAGUUUGCGACCUCGAUGUUGGAUCAAGAAAACCUGAAUGUGCAGCAGCCUUCAAGGGUUGGUUUGUUCAACCAUAAAAAUCUUACGUGAUC